AAGGGCAAAAGGAAAAUCGUGAUUUUAACUACAAUGUUAUCCAAAAUAACUGCGAACAUUUUGCGACGUACUGCGUAACAGGAACACCGUUUAGCAUUCAAGCAGUAAAGUUUCUGAUGGUGAGCACACUUUUUCUAGGCAGUGGAUUUCUUGGGAUAAGCGAUGAGAGAAUGCGCAACGCGAAACUGUUCGAGAAUAACUUCAUAUGCAGUCGAUGUGACGAGAUGAACAAACGCCUUCUUAGCGUAAGCGUGAAACCGAUUUUAUCAGCAGAUGACGUUCACGCUGGUGACGUAAUCAGAUACACGUACUAUAAUUUACAACACGAGGGAGUCGUUUUGGCCGUUUUCGUGGUGAGGGGUUCCAACCAGCUAUCCACUUUUCCGAAAGUGUAUAUCUCUCCCACCGCAAGUGAUGCCUGUUUCGCCCGGAAGUGAUGUUCCAUCAACAAAACAUUCUCCCGACCAAUCGACGCACCUCCUACACCACACCCUUUUCUUCGUGCCAGCUGACUACAAACAACGCUUCCAGGAGUGUCCAUUCACGCAACCGGAAGUGGUGCCCCUUGCUGUAUUGAGAAACAUUCCUUAUUGCGCCAGCUGCUGUCGUCUCAAAGCUAUCGGAAAUGGCGCUCCACCAAACCGGAAGAAAUGCUCCCUGCCACAUGAAGUGAUGCUCAAUCCGUGAGCGGCCAUGAAAAUGUCCAACAACCGCACCUCCGACCCCCGCCUCUUCUCUGCUCCCGAGCGUUUCUGGAGUUUUCCACCUCAUUGAUGCCUCAGUGGCUUAUUGCCAGUACUGGAACAGUAAGAAAAUGCCCGAAAGCCGCGUCUCCGAUCCCCACCCCCUCUCGUCUCCCUAUCGUUUCUUGGAGUUUUUCACCGCAUUGACCCACAAUGGCUUUAUGGCAGGACUGGAAAAGUUAGGAAAAAAGUGCCCGACAGCCGCUUCUCCGACACCCGCCCGCUCCCGGCUCCCGAUCGUUUCUGGAUGUUUCCACCUCAUUGAUGCCCCAAUGGCUUUAUGGCAGGACUGGAUCAGUUAGAAAUUGCCCAACAGCCGCUUCUCCGACCAUGGCCCUCUCCCGGCUCCCGAGUGUUUCUGGCUGUUUCUAUCUCAUUGAUGUCACAGUGGCUUUAUGGCAGGACUGGAUUAGUAAGAAAAUGUCCAACAGCUGGGUCUCCGACCCUCACCUCUGCUGCUCCCGAGCGUUUCCGGAGUUAUCGACCGCAUUGAUGUCCCCCAGACUUUAUGCAGGACUGGACCAGUUAGGGAAGAAAAGGGAUGCCAUGACAGCGUUUUUACCUUUCUUCAAAGAACACAACGAUAGAACAGACACAUGGACAGCUCGAUAUCUCGCGUAUACAUGAAUCAUGUGAAUUGAACUGUAUUCAAUACAUCGUUGUUAGGGAGCUUACGGGUGAUGAGGCCCGACAUCUAGUGGUACGAGACAAAAUCCUGUAAUUCUGGAUGACAAACGGGCAGAGGUUUCUGAGUUUUCCCCCAAAAGAGGGUUUAUCUCAGUUGUUCCUCGGCGAGUCGACCACGUCUGUAAGCUCAUUUUGCAAAUUCAUACUGUUUAUGCUUAUCAGUUUCUCAAAUGCUUCUCUUUGAAAUUCCAAUAAAUUUGAAAUGGUUCGGAAGAGAAAUCAGAUUUGAAGAAAUUCUGUUUGUAUUUUACGGACAUGUCUUUUAAUUAGAUGAAUAUUCAUUUGUGUCAAAAUGUUGCAGUUGAUUUGUUAUAUUAACUAUAUUAUGUCUUUAUGAAUAUAUAGCUGCAUUUGGGUCAAAUGUUCUAAAUGAUUCUGGCCCCAAUUUCUCGAAACUUCAUAAGCUUAACAGGCUUAAGUCGAUUAUUUUAAUUAGCCAAAAUACAUAAUGGAUUUUAAUAAAUGAAAAAUGCUUUCUUCUAAUUUGCAUACAGAUUUUUCUUAUAUAAUUUAUAAAAACUCUUAAAAUAUAACACAUUCUGUAGAACAACAAAAAUGUGAGUUAAGCUUAAUCCUGUUUUAAGGGACUUAAAAAGUUUCGAGAAAUUGGGGCCUGUUUAUGUAUUAUUUUUCAUUAAACAUGAAAUUGCAUUUGUGUCAAAAUAUGUAUGAACAUGACAAUAUUAUGUCUUUGUAUAAUAUGAAUAUGCAUUUGUGUAAAAAUAUUUUAGUCGAUUUAGUAUUAUAACAAUUUCUUUGUCUUCAGUAUGAUUAUACAUUUGUGCAAAAUGUUUUGUAUGAUUUAUUAUGAUAACUAUAUUAUGUUUUUCAACAGUAUGAAUAUGAAUUUGUGUCAAAACAUUUUGGAUGAUUUAUUAUGAUAAUUAUAUUAUGUUUUAAACAGUAUGAAUGUGAAUUUGUAUGAAAAUGUUUUAGACAACUUUUUAUUACUUUUGUUUGAAAUGUUAUUUGCUUUUACCUAGUUAAUGAAAUGAUCAAUCAUGAACAAUAAAACGAUGAAA